UCACUGGGUGUAUGAUUAUUG
rnacentral:miRNA from 1 species